rnacentral:rRNA from 1 species
UACGUAGGGUGCGAGCGUUAAUCGGAAUUACUGGGCGUAAAGCGUGCGCAGGCGGUUUUGUAAGCCCGAUGUGAAAGCCCCGGGCUUAACCUGGGAAUGGCAUUUGGGACUGCAAGGCUGGAGUGUGGCAGAGGAGACUGGAAUUCCUGGUGUAGCAGUGAAAUGCGUAGAUAUCAGGAGGAAUACCGAUGGCGAAGGCAGGUCUCUGGGCUGACACUGACGCUCAUGCACGAAAGCGUGGGGAGCAAACAGG